GCCGGGUGUGGUGACACACACCUGUGGUCCCAGCUACCCAGGAGGCUGAGGUGGGAGGAUCACCUGAGCCCAGGGGGUUGAGGCUGCAGUGAGCAGUGAUCAUGCCACUGCACUCCAGCCUGGGCAACAGAGUGAGACCCUGUCUCAA
rnacentral:SRP_RNA from 2 species